AGGACUUCCGGGUUCAGAAGCCAUUUUUGGAAAACCUCCAUUGCGAGGGACAAUGCGAGGCGCUGGUAGCCCUGAGUGAAGAGAGGUAUGAAUGAAGAUGAGAACAUAUGAGGCCAACUCGAAGCAGAUCAUACAAGCUGUAUGGUUUCUUCUGAAAGAGUUCAGCCUAAGCAACAUGGAAAAUAAUAGAAUGGAAACCUCAAAGAAGACUCAUCAAAGGAUGGAUCUCAAAACAAAAUUUACUUCUCGUGUGAAUUAGAUAACACAAUGGCACUCAAGUAGAAAAGUGCCAGGAAGUGUAACAAGCACACCAAGCCAAGACUGGCCAAACCUCGUUGGAACUUAUAAAAGGGGAUGAGAACUCCAGAAUUUUGGAGCCAUCACACAGUACCUUGUAUAAUAGGAAUCCCAUCUCAGAUGUUCUGGAACUCAAACAUAGGUGGACCAGCUAAAUUUCAAGUUGAACAAAUAUGUAUUGGUGUUUGUGCGAGUAAGACUGAAUUGAGCUUUUAGUUUAGAAAGUGAUUAAUAAAAAUUAAACCUGCAUUUGUUUCCACUUGUCCUGGAUAAAAAAGAACAACAAGUAGCACUGGGGUGUUAUAAAGACCCUUUUUAUUGCUAUGGUAUAUGAUACCUUCAAUUAUAUACUGCUAAUUGGUAGAGAUUGCUACCCAUUUCUAGACUCUCCUCUCAAGGUAACACCUAGAAGCACAUCUGUCUUCAGAAUGGAGGGUUUUAAAAAAUUAGAAAACAUUAAUCCUGAGGAGCCACAGAUUAUAUUACCUCAGUGCUAAGACCUGCUCUCAGAAGGAGAGCCCACAUGCAGAAGGUAAGAGAAAGGAAACUUGCAGCCUUGUUUAAUGUUAAAUGUACAUACAGCAUAACCUGUUCUAGCCUCUAAUAAAUUCCAUUGUUACAACA